GCCAGACAGGAUGUGGGAACUGACCUAUCCUUGAGAGAUUCUGAGUAAGAGCACAGCAGAAGUCCUUACUGCAGGGGAGGAGCCUGCAAGCAGUAGCUGCCCUAAAAGAGGGUCCAGGGAGGAGACCCCGAUGACUGGAAAAAAAGAUGUACUUUGCAGCUGGCCCUGAAGGUCAUCAGAUUCGGGCUAUCUCAGACUAAGAUUCUGCUCUCUGCUGCGAUGGAAAUAAUGUGCUGCCCCUCCUUGUUGCAUCUCGAAGUAUUUCACAGAUUAUAAUUUUAAAAAUAAAUUUAAAUCAUUUAUGGAAUUGGUGCUGCUGAAAGAUUAAAUUAUUUUCAGGGUAAUAUU